AUAUAUAGAUGUGAUGCAGGUUCUUUGAAAAAUAAAUAUGCUGUCGAAUAGGGAAAAGGGUGAGAAACCCUUACGGUCCCGCCGCUGUAACCGGAGACAAGAUUCUUCGCUCAAUUGUUUUUCAGGAGAGAGAAAUUGAGGAAAUCGUCACUGUUGCGUUGAGCAAUGGGAAGGCUGAGGAAUUGAGGAUGAACCGGGAGUCAGAAAACCUGCUUCAGUAUGAAUUUUGUU
rnacentral:ncRNA from 2 species